GAGAGCUAUAUAGCAGCGGCAGCGCUCUGGCGUCGCUCAUACUGCCGGAGAGAACGAAACAAACAGAAGUAGAAGUUGCAGUUUGUAACGUGAAGCAAUUCUACGCUUGUAUGAAGUCAUAUCAGUUGGAAAUCACACAUUACGGUCUCCCUGCCAGAGAGAAUUAGCCAGAGUGGGGGUUGAAUGGAGGGGUGGAGGCUGCUCUAUCCAUGCAGCAGGUCAGAUGCCGGGGGACAAGAUUGAGUCUUGCCUCUUCCUCUUUGGCCAGAGAGCUCUACCGAGGGACAAAGGAUGCUGGAAAGAAGAAGCAGGUGACAUCAUGCGAAUCUGCCUCUGCUUGGAUAGUCAUGGCAACUGAUCUGUUUGCAUAAACACAUGGGGCUUACUCUCCUCCCCUGCGGUCCCUCGUGUCACUGGGAUUCUCACAGAUCCUAGCAGCUACAGGGUUGUAGCAUUACUGCACCCUGCUGCUUCACACACUCACAAGGGAGAGCCUGGCGCCACUCCUGUCUGUUCAG
ensembl:lncRNA